rnacentral:rRNA from 1 species
AUACGUAGGUGGCAAGCGUUAUCCGGAUUUAUUGGGCGUAAAGAGAGUGCAGGCGGUUUUCUAAGUCUGAUGUGAAAGCCUUCGGCUUAACCGGAGAAGUGCAUCGGAAACUGGAUAACUUGAGUGCAGAAGAGGGUAGUGGAACUCCAUGUGUAGCGGUGGAAUGCGUAGAUAUAUGGAAGAACACCAGUGGCGAAGGCGGCUACCUGGUCUGCAACUGACGCUGAGACUCGAAAGCAUGGGUAGCGAACAGGAUUAGAUACCCUGGUAGUCCAUGCCGUAAACGAUGAGUGCUAGGUGUUGGAGGGUUUCCGCCCUUCAGUGCCGGAGCUAACGCAUUAAGCACUCCGCCUGGGGAGUACGACCGCAAGGUUGAAACUCAAAGGAAUUGACGGGGGCCCGCACAAGCGGUGGAGCAUGUGGUUUAAUUCGAAGCUACGCGAAGAACCUUACCAGGUCUUGACAUCUUGCGCCAACCCUAGAGAUAGGGCGUUUCCUUCGGGAACGCAAUGACAGGUGGUGCAUGGUCGUCGUCAGCUCGUGUCGUGAGAUGUUGGGUUAAGUCCCGCAACGAGCGCAACCCUUGUUACUAGUUGCCAGCAUUAAGUUGGGCACUCUAGUGAGACUGCCGGUGACAAACCGGAGGAAGGUGGGGACGACGUCAGAUCAUCAUGCCCCUUAUGACCUGGGCUACACACGUGCUACAAUGGACGGUACAACGAGUCGCGAACUCGCGAGGGCAAGCAAAUCUCUUAAAACCGUUCUCAGUUCGGACUGCAGGCUGCAACUCGCCUGCACGAAGUCGGAAUCGCUAGUAAUCGCGGAUCAGCAUGCCGCGGUGAAUACGUUCCCGGGCCUUGUACACACCGCCCGUCACACCAUGAGAGUUUGUAACACCCAAAGUCGGUGGGGUAACCUUUUAGGAGCCAGCCGCCUAAGGUGGGACAGAUGAUUAGGGUG